GUAGAGAAGGAGGCAGCUCCCCUCAGCCCCCGCGGCAAGGCCUCCGUGGGGUUUCCUGAAGGAGCAGCGCUUCUCCUCUGGGAAACUGGACGUUAAAAUUGAGUCCUUAAAUCCAGUCCUUAAAUAUACUUACUUGAAAGUUAGCUCGAUCGAAACCAAGAGGAUUUGCCUUGGCGGGGGGAAGUGUUUUAAGAUGAGAGCGUUCGUGUGAAAUGCUUUUAUUAUUUCUCUUUCCGAAAUCUUACUUUUGGGGCGUAGUUUCCUCCCGCCGCGCUCCCCCAAAUCCAUUUUGCCACUUCUGUACCUCCCUCCAUUCAUUUUCCUGAUGCUGCUGCCACGAGUCAGAAUCGAGGCCCCAGAGGUGGAGACCUGAAUUAAUAUUGCUGCAUUGUCGUUUUCUGGUCUGGAUUUUGUUUCUUCAACAGCUGUUGCUGGGUGCACGUUGGAGAGCUAAAGCGUUUCUUAACAUGAAAUGCGUUCAUGGUAAAAGCUUAUAAAGAGGCAUGUCACAUAAUACUCCAACUUGAUUGUGGCUGCGAUUUUGUGAACGCUUACAGUAGGGGGAUUUCCAAAGCAGCUCAAGCUAUACUAGACUGCUGCAGCCCUUUUUAAGUUACUCAUUUUGAGGGAAAUCCUCAUUGCAUAUGGCUGAACAACCUUUAUUUGGUUGUUCCAAUACUACAAAGUUCCUGCCAUUUAGUAGCUCUGUAGAAGAAGGAAUUUCAGCAGGCUGAAGAGGAAAAUGACCACCACUUGUCAGAUCGUCACAUUUGGUUCUGCUAUAGUUUGCUUUUGGGAAGUUGACCUGAAGAGGUCGCUAGAUAUACAUCCAAGAAACAGGUCAUUUUAUGUUGAAAAAUGGAUAAUCAUCUCUAUUCCAAGGAGUAAACUAAAACUUGUAUGAGCAAGAAAGGAGCCCCAGCUGAUGAAGCAUCUAAGCCCCAGUGACAGAGCAUUAAAUCAACAAGCAAGUCAUUCAAGAAGGUUCUUAAACUAGAAAGGAAGAGUCGUGCUGGAUCAGGCCAAAGGCUCAUUCAUCCAACAGACAAGUUACCACGGGAACUAAAGAACUCUGGGAAAUGAAAACUGUUGUGGGGAAAGAUCUUCCUAAGUUGCAGGUUGAUCUGCAGGAAUCGGCUGCUGGAGCUUUUCAUGAUGUGGAGAUAAAUGCCUUCACCUGAUAACACCUGCCGAUAAAACCACUGCUAAAGGUUUUACCACCACAGGGAUGGUUUAAAAGCAUUGUGGGACAAUGUUUCCAGGGAGCUGCCACCUCCAGCCUAGGAACAACACCCUCACCAUAUGUUGCAACAGAAAAAGCUAGUGAGUGGGAUAUCUCAGUGAAGAAAGAUGGACCAUGCCUCAACACUGGAGCACUGAGCAACUUUCCAAUUCUACUGAGGUCCUAUCACAAGUCUAUGGUUUUGCUGACAAUCUGACAAUAAAUACAAAUAAAAAAAUAAAACGUACAUUUCAAACACA